rnacentral:snRNA from 1 species
AUACUUACCUGGCAGGGGAGACACCAUGAUCAAGAAGGCGGUUCACCCAAGUGGUUUAUUGCAAACUUUUUUUCUGAUGUGUCCUCCUGGGGUCUUGGA